GGCAGCGCUGGAAACUGGGUGGACGGCAUGGGUUGGUCUCAGGAUUUGUUCCGCGCCUUGUGGAGAUCGCUGUCAAGGGAAGUGAAGGAGCACGUGGGCACGGACCAAUUCGGGAACAAAUACUACUACAUCCCGCAGUACAAGAACUGGAGAGACAAACUAUUCGAGAGAAAAGAAUUGUAGAAGCAGCAAAUAAAAAAGAAGUAGACUAUGAAGCAGG
rnacentral:lncRNA from 1 species